rnacentral:tRNA from 1 species
UGCAUCGGCCGGAAAUCGAACCCGGGCCGCCCGCGUGGCAGGCGAGCAUUGUCGCCAUUGAACUACCAAUGC